CCUGUGAGACCUGGUGCUCUGGCCCCGGGUCUCAGGCGGUUCAGUGCACCUCCAGAAGAUGGCUCAACCUACAGCAGUACCAGAGCAAGAAACUGAUGUCUGACAGUGGAGUGAGAGUUCAAAGAUUCUUUGUAGCAAGCACUGCCAAUGAAGCUCUGGAGGCUGCUAAGAGACUAAAUGCCAAAGAGAUUGUUUUGAAAGCUCAGAUCUUAGCUGGAGGAAGAGGAAAAGGUGUCUUCAAUAGUGGCCUGAAAGGAGGUGUUCAUUUAACAAAAGACCCCAAAGUUGUGAAACAGCUGGCUAAACAGAUGAUUGGGUAUAAUAAAGCAACAAAACAAACUCCCAAAGAAAGUGUGAAAGUUAACAAGGUGAUGAUUGCUGAAGCCCUGAACAUUUCCAGAGAAACCUACUUAGUGAUUCUGAUAAACCGGGCCUACAAUGGCCCUGUGCUGGUGGGUAGCCCCCAGGGUGGCAUUGACAUUGAAGAAGUGGCCACUUCCAAUCCAGAACUUAUUUUUGAGGAGCCAAUUGACAUUUUUGAAGGCAUAAAGGUCAGCCAAGCUCAGCGGAUGGCAGAAAAUCUGGGCUUCCUUGGGACUUUGAAAAACCAGGCUGCAGAUCAAAUUAAGAAGCUGUAUAAUCUCUUCCUGAAAAUUGAUGCCACUCAGGUAGAAGUGAAUCCCUUUGGUGAGACUCCGGAAGGCCAAGCUGUCUGUUUUGAUGCCAAGAUAAACUUUGAUGACAAUGCUGAAUUCCAACAACAGGAGAUAUUUGCUAUGGAUGACAAAUCAGAGAAUGAGCCCAUUGAAAAUGAAGCUGCCAGAUAUGAUCUAAAAUACAUAGGACUGGAUGGGAAUAUUGCCUGCUUUGUGAAUGGUGCGGGACUAGCCAUGGCUACUUGUGAUAUCAUUUUCCUCAGUGGUGGGAAGCCAGCCAACUUCUUGGACCUGGGAGGCGGUGUAAAGGAAUCUCAAGUGUAUCAAGCUUUCAGAUUGCUCAUAUCCGUUCCUAAGGUUGAAGUCAUCUUAGUCAAUACUUUUGGCGGUAUUGUCAACUGUGGCGUCAUAGCCAAUGGAAUCACCAAAGCCUGCUGGGAACUGGGACUGAAGGUGCCCCUGCUGGUCCACCUUGAAGGAAUGAAUGUCCAAGAGGCUCAGAACAUACUCAGAAACAGCGGGCUUCCCAUCACCUUGGCUAUGGACCUGGAGGACACAGCCAAGAAGGCUGUGGCCAGUGUGAGAAAGAAGUGAUGUCUCCUUGGAGCCAUUUUCCCAAUGACUCCUUCGUUGUGAAGAGGAAGAAGAGGGUUGGGGCGGGAGACAAAACAGUUCGCUCACUGGGAGAAAAUGGGGAAGUAUGAAUAAGAAUCACUGUGAAAAAUCUGAGAUCUGUGUCCUCUUAGAUAAAUUACCCAGACAUCCUAGUCUGAUUUUAUAUAUGUAGUAACUCUAAAAAUAAUGUCCUCUAUUUGCAAGCACUUGCCCACUUUGGGGAACAGUCUCUGGCCCAAUUAUGUGCAUAUAUACACAAAUUUAAUUAAGGCACACCUUGGCUCAUUGAGAAGAAUAUUGAUGAAUAGUUACCUUAUGGUAGAAAAAAAAACAUGAGCCAUAAAAACCUCAAAUAGGAUUCCAUUUAACAUUUUAACUGGCACAAGGGCAGACCUAAGACAUUGAAGCAAAUAGUUAUUACACACUAUAGCAGUUUUUGUAAGUUUCUAAUUACAACACAUCUUUAGAAAAAGUUAGGAAUAUCCUAAACACAUUUUACAGUGGAAGUUCUACAUUAAUAUGCCAUACAUGUAUUUUACCAUUUGCCUUAAUAUUGAAUCUUGUUUACUUUAUGCUAAAAGUACAGCCAAAAGCCUUAUUUGUGAUUUUGUAGUAGAAGGUUUCAUUUUAAUUUCACUACUAAUGAAUGCUGAUUCUUAGGGACAUCUCUGUAAUUAAGUCAUGUCAUAAUGAAACGACUCUGAAGAUGGAAUUAUAUUGAGAGCAUCCUUUCUCCUU